rnacentral:rRNA from 1 species
AGUGAACGCUGGCGACGUGCUUAACACAUGCAAGUCGAACGGUAACAGGAACUAGCUUGCUAGUUUGCUGACGAGUGGCGCACGGGUGAGUAAUAUAUAGUUAAUGUACCCCAAAGACUGGGAUAGCCACUGGAAACGGUGAUUAAUACUAGAUACACCUCUUUAACAUAAGUUAGAGAGGGAAAUGUCUUUUCGCUUUGGGAUCAGACUAUAUCCUAUCAGUUAGUUGGUGAGGUAAUGGCUCACCAAGGCAAUGACGGGUAGCGGGUUUGAGAGGAUGAUCCGCCACACUGGUACUGAGACACGGACCAGACUCCUACGGGAGGCAGCAGUGAGGAAUAUUGCACAAUGGAGGAAACCCUGAUGCAGCAACGCCGCGUGGAGGAUGACGCAUUUCGGUGUGUAAACUCCUUUAUGAGUCAAGAAAAUGACGGUAGCUCAUGAAUAAGCACCGGCUAACUCCGUGCCAGCAGCCGCGGU